UACAGAGGGUGCGAGCGUUGUUCGGAAUCACUGGGCGUAAAGGGCGUGUAGGCGGUCCGCUAAGUCUGAUGUGAAAGCCCGGGGCUCACCCCCGGAAGUGCAUUGGAAACUGGCGGACUCGAGUCCCGGAGAGGAGAGUGGAAUUCCUGGUGUAGCGGUGAAAUGCGUAGAUAUCAGGAGGAACACCGGUGGCGAAGGCGGCUCUCUGGACGGUGACUGACGCUGAGACGCGAAAGCGUGGGGAGCAAACAGG
rnacentral:rRNA from 1 species